rnacentral:rRNA from 1 species
UACGUAGGCAGCGAGCGUUGUUCGGAGUUACUGGGCGUAAAGGGCGCGUAGGCGGCAAUUCAAGUCAUCUGUGAAAUCUCCGAGCUUAACUCGGAACGGUCAGAUGAUACUGCUUUGCUAGAGUGCAGAAGGGGCAAUCGGAAUUCUUGGUGUAGCGGUGAAAUGCGUAGAUAUCAAGAGGAACACCUGAGGUGAAGACGGGUUGCUGGGCUGACACUGACGCUGAGUGCGCGAAAGCCAGGGGAGCAAACGGG